AGGACGAACGCUGGGGGCGUGCUUAACACAUGCAAGUCGAACGAGAUUUAGUGAGUAGCAAUACUCACGAAGAUCUAGUGGCGAACGGGUGCGUAACACGUGAGGAACUUGUCCCGGUCUCUGGGAUAACAGUUGGAAACGACUGCUAAUACCGGAUGACGUCGGAACUUCGCAUGGAGUACUGACGAAAGGGUUACUGGAUCGGGAGAGCCUCGCGGCCUAUCAGCUUGUUGGUGGGGUAAUGGCCUACCAAGGCAUCGACGGGUAGCUGGUCUGAGAGGAUGAUCAGCCACACUGGGACUGAGACACGGCCCAGACUCCUACGGGAGGCAGCAGUGGGGAAUCUUGCACAAUGGGCGAAAGCCUGAUGCAGCAACGCCGCGUGCGGAAGAAGGCCCUCGGGUGUAAACCGCUUUCAGAAGGAACGAACUGACGUACUUCAAGAAGAAGGUGCGGCCAACUACGUGCCAGCAGCCGC
rnacentral:rRNA from 1 species